rnacentral:rRNA from 1 species
GGCGGAGCAAAACACAAAACAACAGUCUCAGUUCAGAUUGUAGGCUGAAACUCGCCUAUAUGAAGUCGGAAUUGCUAGUAAUCGCGGAUCAGCAUGCCGCGGUGAAUACGUUCCCGGGCCUUGUACACACCGCCCGUCACACCAUGAGAGUCGAUAACACCCGAAGCCUGUAGUCUAACAGCAAUGAGGACGCAGUCGAAGGUGGGAUUGAUAAUUAGGGUGAAGUCGUAACAAGGUAUC